GGCUGUGUGGCUCAGUGGGUGGAGCACCUGCUUUGCAUGCAGAAGGUCCCAGGGUGAAUCCCUGUCAUCUCCUGGCAGGGCUG